rnacentral:lncRNA from 1 species
CAGCGCGCAGCCCCGCCCGGCCCCGCCAUUGGUGGACCGCAGUUGCUAGGGCGGCUGCGCACUUUCAUUGGUGUGAUUGUCCGUCCAUCUUACUCUCGUCGCCGCCUCCGGGCUGAAGCCCAACCGCCCCUCCUGGAAGGGCGCUGUCGCCGCAGCCAAUGGAGGCCCGGAGACGGAGCAGGGGCGGAGCCAGAACAAACAGGAGGCGGGGACUCUGCUCCCGCAGCCAAUGGCGGGGCGGGGCGGGGGCGAGUAGGGGGUGGGGCCGAGUGUUUACACUCUCGCGUGCGCCUGUCAGCGCCGCGAACUCGGUCCCACGCCGUCGGGUCUGCACGCCCCGAGUCGGGCGGGGCGUGGGGCCGUGCUGGGUCCCGGCGUGGGGCCUCCCCACCUGCCCACCAGGUGCCGGGCCGGGUGGGGCUUAGGGGGUCGGUCCAGUUCGCGGACGCGGCCGGAAGGCCCCCCGCAGGCCGCCUCCCCGCAAGAGUCCCUGUCGCCGUAGAAUCCAGGCUCGCGGUCUCUCCCCACAGUUCAUCCAGGGCCUCGUCCUUGCCCCAUUUACGCGGCGUGCCUGAAUGCCUGUGUGUGCACAUGCGCCUGUGUACGUACUCAUGUGUUUGUGUGUGUGCAUAUCUGCGUGUGCAUGUGUGCCUCUGCAGGUGUCUGCACAUGUAUGUGUCUGCGUGUGCACGUGUGCCUCUGCAGGUGUCUGCACAUGUAUGUGUCUGCGUGUGCACGUGUGCCUCUGCAGGUCUGCACAUGUAUGUGCGUGUGCACGUGUGCCUCUGCAGGUGUCUGCACAUGUAUGUGCAUGUGUGCCUUUGCAGGCAUCUUUGCAUGUGUGUGUCUGCGUGUGCUGCUUCUGUCUAUGCAUGUGCUCCUAUGUGUGUGUGCACUAGCUUGUUUGUGCAUCCAUGCAUGUGUUUGUGUGUGUGCUGGAGAAGAUGGGGUAGGACCCCUCCAGCCUUUAGGCUUCUCUUCUGCUCUCAAGAGCAAGGGGUGCCAGGGCGAGGCCUGCCCUUCGCUCUGAGGGUCUCACCAGGUGCACACUGGUUUAUUUGGUGCAAAAUUCAGGCAGCAGGCAAGCGGCGAACUCCGUCCAAGAAGAAGGAUAAUGCCUCCCCCACUUCAUCCCCUCCACCCUGCGUUGUGUAG